rnacentral:rRNA from 1 species
GACGAACACUGGCGGCGCGCCUAACACAUGCAAGUCGAACGAGCGAGCGAGAGCUUGCUUUCUUGAGCGAGUGGCGAACGGGUGAGUAACGCGUGAGGAACCUGCCUCAAAGAGGGGGACAACAGUUGGAAACGACUGCUAAUACCGCAUAAGCCCACGGUGCCGCAUGGCACAGAGGGAAAAGGAGCAAUCCGCUUUGAGAUGGCCUCGCGUCCGAUUAGCUAGUUGGUGAGGUAACGGCCCACCAAGGCGACGAUCGGUAGCCGGACUGAGAGGUUGAACGGCCACAUUGGGACUGAGACACGGCCCAGACUCCUACGGGAGGCAGCAGUGGGGAAUAUUGCACAAUGGGGGAAACCCUGAUGCAGCGACGCCGCGUGGAGGAAGAAGGUCUUCGGAUUGUAAACUCCUGUUGUUGGGGAAGAUAAUGACGGUACCCAACAAGGAAGUGACGGCUAACUACGUG